GCCGCUAGUCGAAGAAGAGUUUUUCCCGAGGAUGAUGUUGGUGCACGUAGCCGGGCCAGUAGUUUCGCCUCAAGGUAUCUGGAAGACGAGGAACCACCCCAGCUACCCCAGGUCAGCAGCGGAGGGAUGUAUAUGAAAAGACAACCGCCGAACUUUAAUAUCAGUUGGAGACGAAACGCGGCUCGAAGAGGUCAUGGCUUCGGUAGAAGUCAGAUCAAACCGCCGUGGUCUCCAGGGCUCCAUCGACUGCCUUGCUGAUGGGAGGACUUAACCGGUCAGUGUGAUACUGACCAUACAUACUGGACACGAGUGACAACGUCAAGGUGUUCCUGACACCCGUACCUGUGUCCACCAGGACGACGCAGUUCCGCCACAACGUGCACAGGGACUCCUACCACGACAGGGAAAGUCAGUGGAGUCCGUGCAAGUCAGUGAGACGAGCUGCAUCACUGAAGGAGCUAGAAUAGACGUCCGUGUGCCUUAUAAAGUCGGGAAGGAGCUACAAAUCACCCAGAACAGCACCAUCGACAGGAGGAAGAUAACGAGAGGGGAGUGCCAGACCAGUAGCAGAUCUAGAAUAGCCAAUCGAUUGCGCUGCUACAACCAUAGUGAACCUAAAACUAGUUAGAGAAUUCACGGACUAGUUUUGAGGUGAUUUAUACCAUUACUGUGCAUUUUAGUGUACUGGGUAUACAUUGCAGUAGUAGUUGAUUGUGCAUGUGUAUCAAAGAACCGUACAUAAGGUUAACCUCAGCGACGACGGACCGAAUCAAACCGGAGAUGGAUGUAGUAAAGGAGAGAACCGCCAGAGGAAUGUUCAGUACAAUUACUCUGUAUCCAACCUGUGACCGAAGUUAGCGGGGUCAGCAUUAUGUAGUAACGUCAAAACACUUCAACAGUCUCCCGUGCCAAGUGUACGGAAAACCUUG